AGUGGUGACUAGUGACAGAGUUAGGGAGGGAAGGGGUGACUAGUGACAGAGUGAGGAAGGGGGUGACUAGUGGCAGAGGGAGGUGGUGACUAGGGACAGAGUGAGGGAGGUUGUGACUAGUGAUAGUCACCACCUCCCUCACUCUGUCCCUAGUCACCACCUCCCUCACUCUGUCACUGUGUCACCCACUCCCUCCCUCACUCUGUCACCAGUCACCACUUCCUUCCCUCACUCUGUCACCAGUCACCCCUUCCUUCACUCACUCUGCCACUAGUCAACCCUUCCCUCACU